UACGUAGGGGGCAAGCGUUGUCCGGAAUCAUUGGGCGUAAAGAGCGUGUAGGCGGCCCGGUAAGUCGGUUGUGAAAGUCAGGGGCUCAACCCUUGAAUGCCGACCGAUACUGUCGGGCUAGAGUCCGGAAGAGGCGAGUGGAAUUCCUGGUGUAGCGGUGAAAUGCGCAGAUAUCAGGAGGAACACCAAUGGCGAAGGCAGCUCGCUGGGACGGUACUGACGCUGAGACGCGAAAGCGUGGGGAGCAAACAGG
rnacentral:rRNA from 1 species